rnacentral:lncRNA from 1 species
CGGUGGCCAAGUGGUUAGCGCACUUGCCUUUCACCUCUGAGGCUGCAGGUUCGAGUCUCACUAAGUACCUUCUCAAUGCGACUCGAACCCAGUCCCCAUGUGAAAAGAGUAAAAGUCAACGCUCUGCCGAAAGCCGUGGGUUUUCCCCGGGUACUCCGGUUUCCUCCCACAGGGAAAGUUGACAGGGUGGGUUAGGUAAAAAGGGCCCACAGUAGGCCCACAGUAAUUGGCAUAUGCUGUUGUGGUGACCCUGCCCUAGUUGGCAAAGCUAAAUAAAUAAAUAAAUAAAUAAAGUAUAUGUGCCUUGAUG